AUUCUUUUUUUAACACAAACAUAAGCUCCAUUUUCACCUGAUCAAAGAGGGCAGGUGGUAAGAGGCAUUUGCCAGAUCCAUGCAUCAAUGAGUUUGCAAGCAGUUAGACUAAGAUGGUGUGAUACAAACAGGACAAGUAAGUUAAAUAUAAUAUUUCAUGCAAAUUUUUCAUCUAUUAUAGCCCAACGGUGUCAAGCCUCUAAAGUUCUGAUUAUAGUUAUGACCUUGGCUUCCUUGUCUAACUUUAAACAAUUUUUUUAAUGCUUUUUUGUGCAUUUAUAUGAGUAUUUCCCAACCUGUGCAAAGGGGCACUGGCAUUAACUAAAAUAAUUAAUAGGAAUGUGAAUGCGUCAUAUUCUUGGUGGGUAGAGCCAUCAUUUCAUACCUAUAUUUAAGGUAUUGCAUGAUUAUUAUGUUUUGAAAUGUUGGCUGUUAGAUUGUAAUUGAGAUUUCAUUAUGAUGAAGGGAGAUUACAGUUUAGUCGUAUUUUGCCGCCUGCCUUUGAGAUAUCCUAAGAAUGAUUGUAAAAAUAUGUGGAAAAAGUUUGACUAGAAAUUGUGAUCCAUACUACUUAGUGUUCUGAUAGUAUAAAGCCCAGAAGGAACCUUGUGCGUUUGAAGUAAAAAAUAAAAUUUUAGGUUCUAAUAAACAUUUAAUUCUUACUUGAUCACUUACAAGCAUAUAUACACCUAUAUGUAUAUACACAUUCAUGUCAUUGCAAUUGAAUGAUCAAGUAGAAGAACUGUAGGGACCAAUUUUAUUAAAGGAACAAGAAGCCAACUACUUUUUUUGGAAUUAGCAUGCUCAUCUAAUUCCAAACAUCAACUUAACACCUUUUGUACUUAGUUUUAUUGGGACUAAUGAAUUUAAUUUUUUUAAGGUGUUUUUUUUUUUCUUGUUACAUCUGAGAUUUAAAAUUUUAAGACAACUAGCCUCCAAUUCCUAUUUUUGUAAGAUUUUUAAAACAGAAGAGUGUUCUGUGUUAUUGUACCGUAAUUUUGAUGUAUAUUGUUCCCAAAUCCAUUUGGAAAUUUAAUAUUUAUUAGUAACAAAUCUCUUUGUCUUCAUUUGAUAUGCAGUCUCACGUGUUGUAUUAUGGUAGGCCGAGAAAAAAUCCUGACGGCUCUUUAAGACGAAGAGCAUCCAGACAGCAAUGGGUCAGGUAACCCUGUGGCAGUGACACAAGCAAGCUGCAUUUAAAUAAAACCCUGGGACCAUUUGAGCAUAAGCCUCUUGUCUUAAAUGUAUUCCUCAUAGCAUUAAGGAGGCAAGACUUAAUGGGUCAGUUUUGAACAUCCUUACUUACAUUUGGUUUUUAAAAACGAGUCUCAGGGAAAGUGCUAAACCAAAAUCUCUUAUUUGACUUCUGUGUUUUCCAUAGUCUUUGUUUUAUUGAAAUGCUUUUAUAAUGAAAUAAUGUACUGUGACAGUUUGGUAAUUUUUCAAAUUUCUUAAUGUUUCUCUAUCAUGGCCUUUUAUUUCACAAGUUUCUGACGUCUGAAUUAUAUAUUUUUUUUUUUACCAAUUUAAUCUGAAAUGUUUAACUGUUUUAAAGUUAUAUGAGUAUUGUAAACUUCAGAGAAGAUGAAAAAUGUGUUUUCACAGAUCUAUAUUGUUGUGAACUGAGCUAAGUCUACUUUUUUGUGAGUUCAUUGUGAUGUGCUGGUGAAAAUAUAUGUAAUUAAAUAUGUUUAAAUGUG